rfam:Candida parapsilosis strain CDC317 mitochondrial contig 006121
GUCUUAUUAGCUUAGCCGUAAAGCGUUCGUUUUGUAAUCGAAAGACCAUAGGUUCAAUUCCUAUAUAGGACA